GCAGGAGUAGUUCAGUGGUAGAACACCACCUUGCCAAGGUGGGGGUCGCGGGUUCGAAUCCCGUCUCCUGCUCCA
rnacentral:tRNA from 2 species